UACAGAGGGUGCAAGCGUUACUCGGAAUUACUGGGCGUAAAGCGUGCGCAGGCGGUGAUGUAAGACAGAUGUGAAAUCCCCGGGCUCAACCUGGGAACUGCAUUUGUGACUGCAUCGCUGGAGUGCGGCAGAGGGGGAUGGAAUUCCGCGUGUAGCAGUGAAAUGCGUAGAUAUGCGGAGGAACACCGAUGGCGAAGGCAAUCCCCUGGGCCUGCACUGACGCUCAUGCACGAAAGCGUGGGGAGCAAACAGG
rnacentral:rRNA from 1 species